rnacentral:rRNA from 1 species
CUAAGGCUCCAGAGGAAGCCACGGCUAACUCUGUGCCAGCAGCCGCGGUAAUACAGAGGCGGCAAGCGUUGUUCGGAAUUAUUGGGCGUAAAGAGCACGUAGGCGGCCUUGCAAGUCAGUUGUGAAAGCCUUCCGCUUAACGGAAGAAUGCCAGCUGAUACUACAGGGCUUGAGUACGGGAGGGGAGAGUGGAACUUCUGGUGGAGCGGUGAAAUGCGUAGAUAUCAGAAGGAACGCCGGCGGCGGAAGCGACUCUCCGGCCCGAAACUGACGCUGAGUGUGCGAAAGCUAGGGGAGCAAACGGGGUUAGAUACCCCGGUAGUCCUGGCCGUAAA